GAAGGGAGAGAAAUGGAGGGAAGUGAGACAUGACUAAGAUGUAGGUAAAAAGGAAUAAAGGUUUUCCCUGCUCAAAACUCUCAUGAAGAAAUUAAUGGAGAAGGAAAGCACAAAGCAUGCUUGAAAGAAAGCAAAGUCAAUCAACUUGGUACUACAUAUGGCUUCUAUGAGCUCCUUGCUGCUGAGUGAGAAUUCUGAGAUGUUAACCACCUUGCUCUGGCAUGGUGCCUUGUCUGGACAUGCUUCCUCACAGAAACAAAGCCUUUGUCCUCAGGAAGGAAACAUGCUUGAGCUGUCCUUUUGUUGAGUGCCCAAGAGGUUUUACACACUGGGUCAGAGCAAUUUCCAGAUAGCUGAGAGCGGUGCUUGCCUUUUCCCACUGUUUCCUGUAGAGUAAAAAAAGAGCAAUUGACAAAGGGGAAUGG
rnacentral:lncRNA from 1 species